UACGGAGGGUGCAAGCGUUAUCCGGAUUUACUGGGUUUAAAGGGUGCGUAGGUGGGUCUGUAAGUCAGUGGUGAAAUCUCCGGGCUUAACCCGGAAACUGCCAUUGAUACUAUAGGUCUUGAAUAUCCUGGAGGUGAGCGGAAUAUGUCAUGUAGCGGUGAAAUGCUUAGAUAUGACAUAGAACACCAAUUGCGAAGGCAGCUCACUACGGGAUUAUUGACACUGAGGCACGAAGCGUGGGGAUCAAACGG
rnacentral:rRNA from 1 species